AGACUGAAUUACUGGAUAAGGAUGUAAAGAGACGUAAAACACCAACAAAACCAAGCAAUGAAAACAGCUGUAAAAGUAGCAAAACUGAGUACAAUUGCUGUUCUGAAUUCAAGAAAAAAGUUCUUAAGAAACAUCAAGGUAAAAAUACUUGCAUGACAAAGUGGCCCAUCAUUAAAAAGAAAGUGUUGAAUGAAGAUUAUUUAGUAAAAGAAUACGAGCCUGAGUUUACAUCUCCACCAACAUCAAAUAGGGCCUUUUUUAGCCUUGCUUGCAAGAAAUUUAUAACCCGAACUUGUGGAAAUCGAAGUCAAGAGAAAGAUCCUCCGAAAUGUGUUCUUGAUGCAAUUUAUGGAAAAUUCCCAUGUCCAAAAAACAAAAACUAAAAACGUUUUUAAUUUUUUUU